rnacentral:rRNA from 1 species
AGUGAACGCUGGCGGUAGGCCUAACACAUGCCAGUCGAACGGCAGCACAGUAAGAGCUUGCUCUUACGGGUGGCGAGUGGCGGACGGGUGAGGAAUACAUCGGAAUCUACUUUUUCGUGGGGGAUAACGUAGGGAAACUUACGCUAAUACCGCAUACGACCUACGGGUGAAAGCAGGGGAUCUUCGGACCUUGCGCGAUUGAAUGAGCCGAUGUCGGAUUAGCUAGUUGGCGGGGUAAAGGCCCACCAAGGCGACGAUCCGUAGCUGGUCUGAGAGGAUGAUCAGCCACACUGGAACGGAGAAACGGUCCAGACUCCUACGGGAGGCAGCAGUGGGGAAUAUUGGACAAUGGGCGCAAGCCUGAUCCAGCCAUACCGCGUGGGUGAAGAAGGCCUUCGGGUUGUAAAGCCCUUUUGUUGGGAAAGAAAAGCAGCAGGUUAAUACCCCGCUGUUCUGACGGUACCCAAAGAAUAAGCACCGGCUAACUUCGUG